rnacentral:rRNA from 1 species
ACCUGCGGAAGGAUCAUUGUCGUGACCCUGACCAAAACAAACCGUGAACAUGUCAUCUAUGCUGCCGGGUGAUGGGUCCUGCACCUAUCUCUCGGAAAAGGGCACCUACCUCCCUUGGAAGGUUAGGUGCCCCAAAAGAACCCACGGCGCCGUAUGGCGUCAAGGAACACUGACGAAGCCUUGUACAGGUGGGCACCGGCUUGCCGGUUCCAGCCUCGUGCAGCGAUGAUCUGAUAAUCCACAUGACUCUCGGCAACGGAUAUCUUGGCUCUCGCAUCGAUGAAGAACGUAGCAAAAUGCGAUACCUGGUGUGAAUUGCAGAAUCCCGUGAACCAUCGAGUUUUUGAACGCAAGUUGCGCCUAAGGCCUUCUGGUCAAGGGCACGUCUGCCUGGGCGUCACGCCAAUAGACACUCCCCAUCCAUCACGUCGAUGAUGAGGAUGUGGUUUUUGGCUCUCCGUGCAUCUAUGUGCGGAGGGCCUAAGUUUGGGCUGCCGGCGGUGCCGAUCACAGCACAAGGUGGAUGGCUCAAGUUAUUCUCAGUGCUAUGAUACGGACCGUGGUGAUGGCCUAGCACCCAUGUACCGAAGCACACAUUGCUCGGACCGCGACCCCAGGUCAGUCGGGACUACCCGCUGAAUUUAAGCAUAUCAAUAAGCGG